UCAUCAGUCGUCUAUAUGUACCCUGUAGAACCGAAUUUGUGUGAGCAGCAAAAAUCGCAAAUUCGUCUCUAGGGGAAUACAUGGGCGAUGCCAAUACCGC
rnacentral:pre_miRNA from 1 species